AACGAACGCUGGCGGCAUGCCUAACACAUGCAAGUCGAACGAGACCUUCGGGUCUAGUGGCGCACGGGUGCGUAACGCGUGGGAACCUGCCCUUAGGUUCGGAAUAACUCCCCGAAAGGGGUGCUAAUACCGGAUAAUGUCUUCGGACCAAAGAUUUAUCGCCUUUGGAUGGGCCCGCGUUGGAUUAGCUAGUUGGUAGGGUAAAAGCCUACCAAGGCGACGAUCCAUAGCUGGUCUGAGAGGAUGAUCAGCUACACUGGGACUGAGACACGGCCCAGACUCCUACGGGAGGCAGCAGUGGGGAAUAUUGGACAAUGGGCGAAAGCCUGAUCCAGCAAUGCCGCGUGAGUGAUGAAGGCCUUAGGGUUGUAAAGCUCUUUUACCCGGGAUGAUAAUGACAGUACCGGGAGAAUAAGCGCCGGCUAACUCCGUG
rnacentral:rRNA from 1 species